rnacentral:rRNA from 1 species
AUAAUAAUUUGUUUUUUAAAUGAAAGCUAGAAUGAAUGAUUGAACGAGGUAAAAUCUGUCUCAAAUAAAAUAAAAUUUAAAAUUAAUUUUUAAGUAAAAAAGCUUAAAUUUAGUUAUAGGACGAGAAGACCCUAUAGAAUUUUAUAAUUUUAUUUUUUGUAAAUUAUUUUUUAAAUAAGAAAUAAAUAUUAUUUUAUUGGGGCGAUAUAAAAAUAUAUAAAACUUUUUUUUUAUUAUAACAUUUAUUAAUGAAUUUUUUGAUCUUAAAUUUUAGAAAAAUAGAUUAAAUUACCUUAGGGAUAACAGCAUAAUUUUUUUUAAAAGUUCAUAUUAAUAAAAAAGAUUAU